ACUGCUCGGUUCAUGAAUAUUUUAUGGUGUGAUGUUAUUUUGAAUGGCUGGGGCAGGUGAAGGGGGCCGAGGGUGUAAUAAGUAGCUCUGCUGGAGGCUGUGUAGCUGCGCUGUUUCCCCGCGGAGCCCACAGUGUAACACCAAGAAGCAUCCUGACCCCCGCCUGCACGGAGGCGAGGGCAGCUGGGGCUGAGGCAAGGAGCUAUGACAAGUCACGUUUUGCAGAAAACUCCAACAAGGAAGAGAAAGAUGGCAUGGCAGGACUCCACUCAUCCUGAGAAUAUCAGUUUGCAUGCUCUCCUUAUCUUCACAAAAGGAAUACAGUAACGAUCAGAAGAAAGAAAUCCCAGCCAACCCACCAAUGCGAAGGAACAGUGAGAAAAGAAAAUAGCUAUCUGCAUGGACUCCAAUGCAAAUGGUGCCCUCUACAAGGAGUAUCUCUGACCUGAAUACAAGAGCUCAGCUUCUCAGCGGCAAAGGG